rnacentral:rRNA from 1 species
ACGAACGCUGGCGGCGUGGAUAAGACAUGCAAGUCGAACGGGAGAAUUGCUAGCUUGCUAAUAAUUCUCUAGUGGCGCACGGGUGAGUAACACGUGAGUAACCUGCCUCUUAGUGGGGGAUAGCCCUGGGAAACCGGGAUUAAUACCGCAUACGAUUGAAAGAUCAAAGCAGCAAUGCGCUAGGAGAUGGGCUCGCGGCCUAUUAGUUAGUUGGUGAGGUAACGGCUCACCAAGGCGAUGACGGGUAGCCGGUCUGAGAGGAUGUCCGGCCACACUGGAACUGAGACACGGUCCAGACACCUACGGGUGGCAGCAGUCGAGAAUCAUUCACAAUGGGGGCAACCCUGAUGGUGCGACGCCGCGUGGGGGAAUGAAGGUCUUCGGAUUGUAAACCCCUGUCAUGUGGGAGCAAAUUAAAAAGAUAGUACCACAAGAGGAAGAGACGGCUAACUCUGUGCCAGCAGCCGCGGUAAUACAGAGGUCUCAAGCGUUGUUCGGAAUCACUGGGCGUAAAGCGUGCGUAGGCUGUUUCGUAAGUCGUGUGUGAAAGGCAGGGGCUCAACCCCUGGAUUGCACAUGAUACUGCGAGACUAGAGUAAUGGAGGGGGAACCGGAAUUCUCGGUGUAGCAGUGAAAUGCGUAGAUAUCGAGAGGAACACUCGUGGCGAAGGCGGGUUCCUGGACAUUAACUGACGCUGAGGCACGAAGGCCAGGGGAGCGAAAGGGAUUAGAUACCCCUGUAGUCCUGGCAGUAAACGGUGCACGCUUGGUGUGCGGGGAAUCGACCCCCUGCGUGCCGGAGCUAACGCGUUAAGCGUGCCGCCUGGGGAGUACGGUCGCAAGAUUAAAACUCAAAGAAAUUGACGGGGACCCGCACAAGCGGUGGAGUAUGUGGCUUAAUUCGAUGCAACGCGAAGAACCUUACCUGGGCUUGACAUGUAAUGAACAACAUGUGAAAGCAUGCGACUCUUCGGAGGCGUUACACAGGUGCUGCAUGGCCGUCGUCAGCUCGUGUCGUGAGAUGUUUGGUUAAGUCCAGCAACGAGCGCAACCCCUGUUGCCAGUUACCAGCACGUCAAGGUGGGGACUCUGGCGAGACUGCCCAGAUCAACUGGGAGGAAGGUGGGGACGACGUCAGGUCAGUAUGGCCCUUAUGCCCAGGGCUGCACACGUACUACAAUGCCCAGUACAGAGGGGGCCGAAGCCGCGAGGCGGAGGAAAUCCUGAAAACUGGGCCCAGUUCGGACUGUAGGCUGCAACCCGCCUACACGAAGCCGGAAUCGCUAGUAAUGGCGCAUCAGCUACGGCGCCGUGAAUACGUUCCCGGGUCUUGUACACACCGCCCGUCACAUCAUGGAAGCCGGUCGCGCCCGAAGUAUCUGAAGCCAACCGCAAGGAGGCAGGGUCCUAAGGUGAGACUGGUAACUGGGAUG